rnacentral:lncRNA from 1 species
UAUUACCAUGUCCCUUUUCCAUAUAUUGUUAGAGCAACUUUUAGAAUUCAUGUUGGCUCCUGUCAUUGUGUUGGAAGAUAACUAUCUUAUAGUAUAAUUAGCAGGGAUUUUACCCAGUCAAUAGGACGAAUGCAUUUGAUGGUGCACUAAAAUCUUACAUUAAGUUUUAUAUACCAUUAUCUCCAAAUAGUCUCAAGAAUACCCGAGAGAAGGAACAGUAAAUUCAGUAUAUUCCCAAGUACUAUAACAUGUUUAUUUCUUAUUGAUAAUUUUAUUUGUUAAAUUAUGAUACCAUGAUAUAGUAAAAGUAGCUUAGCCCUCUAUUCAACAAUUCAAUAAACAGUGCAGAAACCCAUGGUGAGAAAUAAGUUGAUGAUGACCAAUCUUCUCCAAAUAAAGGGGCAAAAUAAAAUGAUUGGAAUUGCAUAAUUCACGUCCAAACAGCAAGAAUAUCAAUUUUUACACACAAAAAAAAAUAACUCUUUCUCUUUCACAUUGAUAUAAGCAAGAAACCUUGCCCUAUCUGCUUGGGGUUGGUAGGUUAUAUUGAUUGCUCCUAGCAUCAGUUCUUAUCUAAAGCUAAGUCCCCAAAAUAAAAAGUUUCUUCAGAUUUACAUUUCACUUCAUUCAUUCAAGCCUCUAUAGUCCGGCCCAUCUCUUUUCCAACUCUAUACUAUCGUCUCUAUCAAAUUCAUUCCCAACCUUGCUUGA